GGGCCGCUAGCUCAAUUUGGCAGAGCAGGUGACUCUUAAUCACUCGGUUCGGGGUUCGAGUCCCUGGCGGCUCACCA
rnacentral:tRNA from 1 species